rnacentral:lncRNA from 1 species
CCCAGAGUGAAAUCUAGCAUCCUGCCGGCUGGUCUGCCCGCCCCUCCUUCCUUUUCCCCCCGGCCCCCGUCCCCUCCCCCCGCAGGUGCCAUCCGCCGCCAUCCGCCCUCUCUACCCCCCCAUCCCCAGGUGAGGGGGGUGAGUUCAGGAAGCGGAGACCCCGAGGAACCCAGCAGGGUCACCAUUUGCAGCGCAACAUGGCAGGAGCUGGAGGAGGGAAUGAUAUUCAGUGGUGUUUUUCUCAGGUGAAAGGAGCAGUAGAUGAUGAUGUAGCAGAAGGUAAGAAAGCGUUUAAUGCAAAAUUUGGAUAUAUAAUUUUUGCAGAAAUGUUUCCUACUGGAGGAUUUCCUUGAAGCCGAGACUGCUAUAAAUUCAAGAUGAUUUUGUUGUCCAAGAAAUGUAAGAACAGUUUUAAAAGAUACCUUUCUGAAAAACAGCCUUAAAUUUCAUUUGUUAUUUACGCCUUGUUUUUAUUAUUUUUUCCUCUGAAUUUACAUGGAAGGAGCGGUAGAUGAUGAGACAUAUAAGAUCCUCACAUGAAAGCUCUGAGCUCCAUAUAAGGGUUUCUUUGUUAUGUAAAUUCCACAUACAAAUAAAUGGUGAUGCAUUUUUAUGUUUGUACAUUGGUUUUAGAUAAGUAAAUUGAAAUAGGUGCCAUCAACAUUUGGCUCAGAAACAUUCUUAACGGCAUCUUUGAUUUUUAUGGGAAGAUUUUUUAACUACUUUUGAAUUUGUCCACUUUGGGAGUGUGAUGCUGCUUGGCAUAUUCUGUGAAGAGAUGAUAGCUCAGAUUAUUCAUUUUGUUGUCUUUCUGGUAUUUAGGUGGAUAAGACAGUAACAAUGCUAUGCAUAUAUCGCUUGUCUUUUAGGAAUCGUAUAUUCUUGUGCAGGUAGAAACUGUGUUUGAUCAGUUGAAGUACUUACGUCUAAUUUUCUCCC